rnacentral:rRNA from 1 species
GUGUCAGCAGCCGCGGUAAUACGUAGGGUGCGAGCGUUAAUCGGAAUUACUGGGCGUAAAGCGUGCGCAGGCGGUUUUGUAAGUCAGAUGUGAAAUCCCCGGGCUCAACCUGGGAACUGCAUUUGAGACUGCAAGGCUAGAGUGUAGCAGAGGGGGGUAGAAUUCCACGUGUAGCAGUGAAAUGCGUAGAGAUGUGGAGGAAUACCGAUGGCGAAGGCAGCCCCCUGGGUUACUACUGACGCUCAUGCACGAAAGCGUGGGGAGCAAACAGGAUUAGAUACCCUGGUAGUCCACGCCCUAAACGAUGUCAACUGGAUGUUGGGAGGGUUAAACCUCUUAGUGUCGUAGCUAACGCGUGAAGUUGACCGCCUGGGGAGUACGGCCGCAAGGCUAAAACUUAAAUAAAUUGGCGG